UACGGGGGGGGCAAGCGUUGUUCGGAAUUACUGGGCGUAAAGGGCUCGUAGGCGGCCAACUAAGUCGGAUGUGAAAUCCCCAGGCUUAACCUGGGAACUGCAUCCGAUACUGGAUGGCUUGAAUCCGGGAGAGGGAUGCAGAAUUCCAGGUGUAGCGGUGAAAUGCGUAGAUAUCAGGAGGAACACCGGCGGUGUAGACGGCUUUCUGGACCGUAGCUGACGCUGAGACACGAAAGCGUGGGUAGCAAACAGG
rnacentral:rRNA from 1 species